rnacentral:rRNA from 1 species
GUCCUUUAGAGUAGAAUUUAAGGUCUAACCUGCCCACUGAUUUAUUAAAUGGCCGCAGUAAUUUGACUGUGCAAAGGUAGCAUAAUAAUUAGUUUUUUAAUUAAAAGCUUGUAUGAAUGGUUGGACGAGAUAAAUACUGUCUCUGAGUAAUAAAUAGAAUUUAAUUUUUAAGUUAAAAAGCUUAAAUCAUAAUAAAAGACGAGAAGACCCUAUAGAUCUUUAUAAUAUUUUUUAUAUAUUUAAUUAAGAUUAUUUUAUUGUUUAUAAUAUAUAUUAUUGUAUUGGGGUAAUAGAAAGAUUAAAUUAAUUCUUUAUUAUUUAUAUAUAAAUUAAUAGAUUUAUGAUCCUUUAUUGAAGAUUGUAAGAUUAAGUUACCUUAGGGAUAACAGCGUAAUUUUUUUGAAGAGUUCAUAUCGAUAAAAAAGUUUGCGACCUCGAUGUUGGAUUAAAAAUUAUUCUAGGUGUAGUAGUUUAGAAUUUUGGUCUGUCGACCAUUAAAUUUUU